CUAGACCAGGUCCUGCUUCGCCUGGAAAAGACUGGCUUGACUGCUGAGCUCUUACAGUGGAGAAGUGGGGUCUGACAUGAAGGAAAAUAUCCUGUGCUCCGAGGAUCUGGCUCACGAAGCUAGCAGCCUGCUCCUUGCUGGAGCUUCAGAAUGAAAUUUAGAAGGUCGAAUGAAAUCAUAUUGCUGUUUUCAAAGGAAAAGAGGUGCCCGCAAAAGGAUGGAUAAGACAGCCUCGGCCAUCCAGGGGCACAGAGCAUCAGAAGCAAAGAGAGAAGGAUGUCAGUGUUCACGGUGACCUUGGAGGCCACAUGGUGGAGAUGGUGGAGCCCCUGCCAGCAGAACCCUGCUCUUCACCACUGUGCCUUAUCAGCCUGCUUGGACCGUGAAUUGCAGCAUUAAGACAUUGAGACUUAGGGGUUGUUACUUCAGCGAGCAGUUAGUCUCUCCUGACAUAUACAGAAUCUUACAGAACCUCUACCUAGUAUAAACAGCUGCAUACCUUCAUGUAAGAUUUUGUACAUAUUUGAGAGACUUCCUGGGUCCCAGCCCUCUUAAGCUCAUCCACAUGGCCCAAGGUGAAGACCUCGACUGCCUUAAAGAAUAAGAUCAAGCAGAAUGUGGCGGUUAAACGGUCUUGGGAACGUCUUUCUGGUUUCAGGGCCUCCCUGCAGCAGAGGGGUUCCAGAGGCGACACCUUACUUAAGGGAUUUUAGUGACGGCCUAGCCUCCCAGGGAGAAGGUCUCCUAUGAAGGCCUCCCUAAUCAUACAGACGCUCUCCGCCAUGCCGCAGCUACCAAAGUGCUUGCUGUCAUCUUCGUGGCACAUCCAACAGAUCUGAUGGGUCACAGGUCACAGGACCAGGCAGCAACUCCUCCCAGCUGAGUCCCUGGGACUUUGCUCAGGGCCCCCAGG